rnacentral:other from 1 species
AUCCCUGCGUGGUACGUAUACAUUAGAAUUUUAGAACCAACAAAUUUUAAAAGGGAGUCUGCCUUUAGAUGUGGCGUGUAUUCUUAUACUUUGUAAAAACUAUAAGAAUCCCAUAAGCAUUUAACAAGACACCCACCUGUUUCGGCAGGUUCUUAAAAUUUCUUUCGUAAUUACGGCUAAGGCGGGGAU